rnacentral:rRNA from 1 species
UACGUAGGGUGCAAGCGUUGUCCGGAAUUAUUGGGCGUAAAGAGCUCGUAGGCGGUUCGUCGCGUCGGCUGUGAAAUCCCGGAGCUCAACUCCGGGUCUGCAGUCGAUACGGGCGGACUUGAGUUCGGCAGGGGAGACUGGAAUUCCUGGUGUAGCGGUGAAAUGCGCAGAUAUCAGGAGGAACACCGGUGGCGAAGGCGGGUCUCUGGACAUUUCCUGACGCUGAGGCACGAAAGCCAGGGGAGCAAACGGG